ensembl:lncRNA
CCUUAAUGUUGACUCACCUUUAAUGUGGACUCACCCUAAAGGUGGACUCACCCUAAAGGUGGACUCACCCUUAAUGUAGACUCACCCUUAAUGUAGACUCACCCUUAAUGUGGACUCACCCUUAAUGUGGACUCACCCUUAAUGUGGACUCACCCUUAAUGUGGACUCACCCUUAAUGUGGACUCACCCUUAAUGUGGACUCACCCUUAUUGUGGACUCACCCUUAGUGUGGACUCACCCUUAAUGUGGACUCACCCUUAAUGUGGACUCACCCUUAGGGUGGACUCACCCUUAGUUGUGGACUCACCGUUAUUGUGGACUCACCCUCAGGGUGGACUCACCCUUAGUGUGGACUCACCCUUAAUGUUUCUCUUCCUCCUUCUGUUUUGGCCAUCUAUCUUCUCAACUCACUUCCUGUUCCUAUUGUGUCUCUUCUCUCUCUAGUGGAGCAGGCGGUCGUCUCCACCUUCUAGCUGCCCUUUGGCCCGCCCCCCGGCUUGGCCCCACCUCCCACCUUGCCCCCAGCCCUGAGUGUUGUUGCCAUGGCGCUGGGCGGGUCUGUGUAGGAGCCUUGUAGGCGCUAGCAGGUUAUCUUUUUGUGGGGCUUGGUCUCAUCCCAGGACGUUAGGAAGAGUUUCAGCAACUUGUUUUUUCAUGAAGUUUAGACGGUUUUCAAAUAGGCAGGGGAUAUCAAUCUGUUGGAGGUGUUUUAAACUUGAUUUAGAUAGUUUUUUGUGACAUUAUUAUAUAUUACCAAGUAAGAACUCAUUGCGACACAUGUUCUUGCUGUGGGUUUGCCUUUUCACCAUAAAGACCAAUAUAAGGUUUACCUUAAGGUUCAAAUAUCUAGUUUACUACACAAGAGUUGAGGAAGUUUGUUACACUUUGUUGUUGUAGUGAUUAGUCUCUGGCUCGCCAUGAGGGGAUUAGAUCUUUAAAGAUGUAGCUCUGGAUUCUACUAUUAAUGUCUGCAAGGUCAUGGAAAUAUCUGGAUCGAGAUCUUUUGAUGAUUAGAAGAUAUGAAACAUUAUCGAUACGUUCUUAUGUUCGAAGGCCAUCAGUCGAGUGGUGGAUCUUUGAAAAUAGCCAAUCAUAUUUCCAUAAGAAGCCAAGUGUGUGAAUUGAGUUUUUGUUGACUUUUAUAUCGUGAUUUAAGUGCAGUAGAAUGUCUAAAGGCCAAACCUGUGCGUGGGUGUGUGUGAUGCGUGCGUGCGUGCGUCCCUCGUUAUUUUGUAUGAUCCAGUUAAUUUCGAGUAGGAAUUAAACUUUAGGGUUAGUUUAGUGUCUGGACGGCGACCUUCGACCCCACGGUGACCUUCAACCCCACGCCCCUUCCCGUGGACGGUGACCUUCGACCCCACGUCCCUUCCCGUGGACGGUGACCUUCGACCCCACGUCCCUUCCCGUGGACGGUGACCUUCGACCCCACGUCCCUUCCAGUGGAUGAUGACCUUCGAC